rnacentral:rRNA from 1 species
GACGAACGUUGGCGGCGUGCUUAAUACAUGCAAGUCAACUGAAGCAGUGGUAGCAUUAUCGCUGUGGCGGUGGCGCCCGGGUGAGUAACACGUAGGUAAUCUGCCUUCAGGUCUGGCAUAACUCCGGGAAACCGGGGCUAAUAGCAGAUGAUGCAGCGGCUCGACAUCGAGACAGUUGUUAAAGCUCUGGCGCCUGAAGAUGAGCCUGCGUCUGAUUAGCUAGUUGGCGGGGUAACGGCCCACCAAGGCAACGAUCAGUAGCUGGUCUGAGAGGAUGAUCAGCCACACUGGAACUGAGACACGGUCCAGACUCCUACGGGAGGCAGCAGUAAGGAAUAUUGCUCAAUGGGAGAAAUCCUGAAGCAGCAACGCCGCGUGAGGGACGAAGGGCUUUUGCUUGUAAACCUCUGUAGUGAGAGAAAAAAAUCCCAAUCUUUGGGACAUGAUGGUAUCUCAAAAGUAAGCCCCGGCUAACUACGUG